GGAGUUGUGGGAGUGCUCCCUUCCCCAGGAGGUCACAGAAAACAAGCAUGUCCAGUGUGCCAGAGGAUUCGGACUGAGAGAACUCCUCUUUUCCUUUAAGUGUGAUUGUUCAUCUCAGGAUAAAAUGGGAAAGGAAUAACCAAACCAACAGAACAUAAGAAAGAAGAACUCGGAGUCCAGGAAAGUCCUGAACAUCUCGACAAUUAGAAAGUCUUCAGUGGAGCUGGGAAACUGAAAACUUUCCAGGGGAAGCAGAAACCCAGGUUCUGUUACUUUGCUUCUGGAGACUUGAGCUUUGAUUCUACAGGACUCUGACAGGUGCUCUUGAAGGCAGGUGUUUAAUAACUUUGGAGACUGUGACACUAGAACAGAGGAAAAACUUCCAAGACUCUCAUAGACAGGAUACAGUUGAAGACAAUGGUUAUUUAACCAAGUCUUUGACUGGAGUUGCAUACUUUCAGAUGUAAAGAAACUGCUUUAAGGGAUCAGAGUUGACUUAGAAAGCCAAUAAAAGCCCCUUUGGAAAGCUGGCCUCCUACCUUGUCUACCCAGUUCUUGUACAGGUUUCCGACCUGUGCUGUGCCUUCUUAAAGGCUGGAGCCUGGAGCACAUGAGGAGAAUUCACAGAAGUGCCUGGAAAGGGAACUGCGGUGGAUCUUACAGAGACUUGAAACAUGUGGAGGAGUUUGGCUCUUAUUCAUAAACGACAAAGUGCUGCCUCCACCUCCCCACCUGUCUAGUUUUAUUCAGUGAUGUCUAUCCUCAUGACUUGGGCCACUUUCAUCAUCACGUCUAUUUGGUUACCUAGGUCUGCCGUUUUUGUGUUUUUUUUUUUCCCAAAUGCUUUCCACAUAAGAUGGCCUGGGUGUCAAUUGCUUAUCUCAGUGGAAUCAUUUCUACUCACCUAUAAAAUGGGAGUAAUAAAAAUGCUAUGUAUCCGA